rnacentral:rRNA from 1 species
GAUGAACGCUGGCGGCGUGCCUAAUACAUGCAAGUAGAACGCUGAAGCUUGGUGCUUGCACCGAGCGGAUGAGUUGCGAACGGGUGAGUAACGCGUAGGUAACCUGCCUCUUAGCGGGGGAUAACUAUUGGAAACGAUAGCUAAUACCGCAUAAAAGUCGAUAUCGCAUGAUAUUGAUUUGAAAGGUGCAAUUGCACCACUAAGAGAUGGACCUGCGUUGUAUUAGCUAGUUGGUGAGGUAACGGCUCACCAAGGCGACGAUACAUAGCCGACCUGAGAGGGUGAUCGGCCACACUGGGACUGAGACACGGCCCAGACUCCUACGGGAGGCAGCAGUAGGGAAUCUUCGGCAAUGGGGGCAACCCUGACCGAGCAACGCCGCGUGAGUGAAGAAGGUUUUCGGAUCGUAAAGCUCUGUUGUAAGAGAAGAACGAGUGUGAGAGUGGAAAGUUCACACUGUGACGGUAACUUACCAGAAAGGGACGGCUAACUACGUGCCAGCAGCCGCGGUAAUACGUAGGUCCCGAGCGUUAUCCGGAUUUAUUGGGCGUAAAGCGAGCGCAGGCGGUUAGAUAAGUCUGAAGUUAAAGGCUGUGGCUUAACCAUAGUACGCUUUGGAAACUGUUUAACUUGAGUGCAGAAGGGGAGAGUGGAAUUCCAUGUGUAGCGGUGAAAUGCGUAGAUAUAUGGAGGAACACCGGUGGCGAAAGCGGCUCUCUGGUCUGUAACUGACGCUGAGGCUCGAAAGCGUGGGGAGCAAACAGG